CUGUUACCAGGAGAUAGUUAUUGCCACUUCACGUUCUCAAAAGAAUAUAUUUCUGUAUAGUUAAGUGUUGAUAUAUUCUUUUGAGAACGUGAAGUGGCAAUAACUAUCUCCUGGUAACAG